GAUGAAGAACGUAGCAAAAUGCGAUACUUGGUGUGAAUUGCAGAAUCCCGUGAACCAUCGAGUUUUUGAACGCAAGUUGCGCCCGAAGCCUUUUGGCCGAGGGCACGUCUGCCUGGGCGUCACGCAUCGCGUCGCCCCCCACAAUUCUCCGUAAAGGGAACAUGUGUUUUGGGGGCGGAUAUUGGGCUCCCGUGCUCAUGGCGUGGUUGGCCGAAAUAGGAGUCCUAUUGAUGGACGCACGAACUAGUGGUGGUCGUAAAAACCCUCGUCUUUUGUUUCGUGCUGUUGCUCGCAAGGUAAACUCUUUAAAAACCCCAAUGUGUCGUCUCUUGACGACGCUUCGACCGCGACCCCAGGUCAGGCGGGACUACCCGCUGAGUUUAAGCAUAUCAAUAAGCGGAGGA
rnacentral:misc_RNA from 1 species